rnacentral:rRNA from 1 species
AUUGAACGCUGGCGGCAUGCCUUACACAUGCAAGUCGAACGGUAACGCGGGGCAACCUGGCGACGAGUGGCGAACGGGUGAGUAAUGCAUCGGAACGUGCCCAGUAGGGGGGGAUAGCCCGGCGAAAGCCGGAUUAAUACCGCAUACGACCUACGGGAGAAAGGGGGGGAUCGCAAGACCUCUCGCUAUUGGAGCGGCCGAUGUCAGAUUAGGUAGUUGGUGGGGUAAAGGCCUACCAAGCCUACGAUCUGUAGCUGGUCUGAGAGGACGACCAGCCACACUGGGACUGAGACACGGCCCAGACUCCUACGGGAGGCAGCAGUGGGGAAUUUUGGACAAUGGGCGCAAGCCUGAUCCAGCCAUGCCGCGUGCGGGAAGAAGGCCUUCGGGUUGUAAACCGCUUUUGCCGGGGAAGAAAUCUUCUGGGCUAAUACCUCGGGAGGAUGACGGUACCCGAAGAAUAAGCACCGGCUAACUACGUGCCAGCCGCCGCCGUAA